rnacentral:rRNA from 1 species
UACAGAGACUGCAAGCGUUAUUCGGAUUCACUGGGCGUAAAGGGCGUGUAGGCGGCUUUAUAAGUCGGGGGUGAAAGCCUGUGGCUCAACCACAGAAUUGCCUUCGAUACUGUAGAGCUUGAGACCGGAAGAGGUAAGUGGAACUGCGAGUGUAGAGGUGAAAUUCGUAGAUAUUCGCAAGAACACCAGUGGCGAAGGCGGCUUACUGGUCCGGUUCUGACGCUGAGGCGCGAAAGCGUGGGGAGCAAACAGG